UCUGUGUACUUAAACAUACUCAAAUCAAAGAAUCUGCCACACUUACUUCGCCUCGUUUUGGUGGCCUUAAAUAUAAUUAAAAUCUUAUUGCCUCAGCAUAUUUGCUUCACUGGCCUAUUUUAUAAUAUUAGUGACUAAACGCAUAAACAAUGUUUUUAUAACUGUGUUUGCAUAUACAACAGUAUUGCAGGUUGCCAAGGGAAA